rnacentral:rRNA from 1 species
CCUACGGGAGGCAGCAGUCGAGAAUCUUCGGCAAUGGACGCAAGUCUGACCGAGCGACGCCGCGUGCGGGAUGAAGGCCUUCGGGUUGUAAACCGCUGUCAGAGGGGAUGAAGUGUACGGGAGUUAUCUCCUGUAUUUGACAGAGCCUCAGAGGAAGCACGGGCUAAGUUCGUGCCAGCAGCCGCGGUAAUACGAACUGUGCGAACGUUAUUCGGAAUCACUGGGCUUAAAGGGUGCGUAGGCGGCUGCCUAAGUCAGGUGUGAAAUCUCUCGGCUCAACCGGGAAACUGCGCUUGAUACUGGGCGGCUAGAGUGAGGUAGGGGUGUGUGGAACUUCCGGUGGAGCGGUGAAAUGUGUAGAUAUCGGAAGGAACGCCAGCAGCGAAAGCGGCACACUGGGCCUUUUCUGACGCUGAGGCACGAAAGCUAGGGGAGCGAACGGGAUUAGAUACCCCGGUAGUCCUAGCCGUAAACACUGAACACUCGAGGAGGGGGCUUCGGGCCUUCUUCCUCUUAGCGAAAGCGUUAAGUGUUCCGCCUGGGGAGUAGUGGUCGCAAGGCUGAAACUUAAAGGAAAUUGAGG